AUGAUACGGGAUCUCCGUAAGUUAUCCACAGGGCUCUCAAAAAACUGGGCUGACGUGAUUCUUCUGCCUCAUCCUCCCGAGUACCAGGACUACAGAGUGACACGCCGAGCUCAGCUGCCCUGGCCCGGGAACACCACUCGCUCGAGACCUCAUCACCAAGGGAGUGAGCAAGCGCGCCGGAAGUUAUGGAAAACACAGCCACGGAGAGGCGGAGCCUGUGGCGCCACAGCGCCUUCCCUUUCAGAGACGCGUUUCACUUUGCACCCACCAGCUACCGAUGCGCGGCAGCUCUUCCCCGCAGUGACGAACAAGCUCGGUCUUCUCAACACCCCUGAACUGCCCGCCCCUCCCCAUCCUUCUGGCCCAACCCAGCCCCGCGUUAGGCACCUGGGUGGUUGUGGGAACCUCCUCCUGGCCGCUGCUCGCUCUCCAGAGGACCCUGCAGGAGACUUCUGCAAAACAGAGGUCAGAACCUGACAUUCACCACGCAUUCUGCUGGCUUUUCCUUCCGUGCUAACCCACGUCGAGUUCUUCCUGUGGCCCCGAACCCUCCGCCCGUCUUUCUGCGCCUCUCCUGCCCUUCUUCCCAGCCCCCUGCCCGCCAGCCCUAGGACAGCCUUUCUUCCCCAGCUGUGGGAGGCGUGGGGUUCCCUCAAAAUCCUUCACCCCGGGAUCCCGGAAGUGACUGUGUGCGGAGACAGGGUCUCUAAACGAGGGAUUAAGGUAAAAUGAUAAGAAGCAAAGCAGAAUGGUAGACUGAUCCAACCACUGAGAUGCCUUUAAAAACUAUGCUACGAAAUUCCACUGAAGCCAGCGGUUCCCCUUCUAGGGAUCCUCCCCAAAGACUUAACGACUCCACAUAGCAGCGGUUCGUGCACACCCUAGUUUAGAGCACAACUCCUAACUGCUCCCUCUUGGAGACUGCCUACGUGUCCAUGCACAGGGGAGUGAGUAAGAAGAUGUGGAAUUUAUACCAGGGAGCACUGCUCCGCCAUAAAGGAUAAACCCGAGUCGCUUGGAGGAAAGUGGACGCGCUGGAGACUGCAAUAUGAAGUGAAAUAAAACAGACACACGAGCUUAAACACCUCACAGCUUCAGGGACAUGAGCAGUCCAAAGUGUAAAGAAAAGUGCAGAAUAAAAAGAUGAUAGAAAAUAGGGAGAUCGGUCUUUUCAAAUGCUAAGAGAGAUGGAGCGAGGGAAGGGGAAAUGAAAAGAACCCGGAUGUGGCAUGUGACGAAAGCGAUCGCUGUGUGCCGCGGACGUGGACUAGUAAACCUUUCACAGAGCUGAGAACGGGACACAGACACGGAGAGGUGGUCCCGUGAAGACACAGGGAGAAAACUGGCCUGCUGGAAGCCAAGGAGACAGGACUUGGGGGAGCUAGCCCUGCCAACGCCUUGACCUUAGCUGUCCUGUUCCCACAACUAAAUGCUUUUUGUUUAAACCACCCAGCACUUUGUGACAGCAACCUGGGCGAACUUAUCUAGAUCGGGGUCCCAAGAAGCCCUCUGAGGGUACCAGGCACAACCACCCAGCCCGUUACAGAAAUGAGGACUGUCCUCACGCGUAUUUCUCCCUUGAUUUGUUAUACAUGCGUCUGUAUACGUGUACAUAAAAUAUCACUGUCACCUGGUCAUCAAAGCCCAGGCCUGUAAUCCCAGCACUCUGGGAGGCUGAGCCAGGAGAGUCACAAGUUCAAGCCUAGCCUGGCCACUAGCAAUUUAGCGAGAUCCUGUCUGAAAAUAAGAAAUAAAAACUGGGCUGUGGGUAUAGCUCCCUGAAUUCAGUCCCUGGUACUGUAGCAGAAACCCCACCACCACCGUAUACCUCAGUUUCUUGGUUGCCCAGGUCAUAGUUCUUGUUCCAGUUCCCCUUGCUCCUGUCUCUUAGAAAAGGUGGGUUGCUAUGGUGCACACUGUAUAAACCAAUCCCCAAUUGACAAGCCAUUCUGCCUCUGCACUUCCUGCUUGCAUAUCUCAUAUAAGCCCUAGACCACCAGAGAUCAGGGCCUGAUAUUUUGGGAAUGAUCCCAAUCGGUGCCCGUCGACGUAAAUAAAUCUGCCUCCAAAUCUUAGGUGUCGUUUUGCUGGUUUUGCUUGUCAUUGCAGUACCGCCCAAAACUUUUUGUCUAUUCUGCAGCUUUAUCUCCUUAUCCCAUAACAUGCCCUGACUUCAUACCAUAGUAUUUAAGUAUUGUCACCUUUACACCAUAUGUAUAAGUUAUGACGUACCAAGGGGAAGAGGAAACAUCCCAGGAGGACGUUGCCUGCUCUUCCGGGGAAAGGAUUGGUGAGUUUCUGGGUUGCACAAGAGCGUCGUAUCAUAACAGAUGGAAGUGUGACCAUACUGCCAUCACGGACAGGUGUGGUUUCAGAAGACGCGCUGGAGCGCCAAGUGAACGGAUCGCUGCGUGCUGGCGGACUUUAUAUGUCAACCUGGCUGGGCCACGGUACUCAGAUAUUCGGGCAAGAUUAUCCUAGAGUGCAUAAAGCAGGUCACCCUCCAUGAUGGAGGUGGGCCUUGUGUAAUCAGUUGCAGGCAUUAGUACAAAAAAACUGAUCUCCCCUGAGGAGGAAUUCUGGCAGAAGCUAACUCAAACUGCAGGGAGUUUUUCGCAGUUCUACA
ensembl:lincRNA